rnacentral:tmRNA from 1 species
GGGGGCGACAUGGCUUCGACGUGGGUCGCAAAACCUAAGGUGCAUGUCGAGGUGCGGUUUACCUCGUAAAUCCAGCCGCAAACUUAUAGUUGCCAACGACGACAACUACGCUCUCGCUGCUUAACCCAGCGAGCCUCUGACCGUCUCUCGCCUGUGGGCGGCGGGUUCCAGGGGUAACAUUACACAGGAUCGCGGAGAUGGGCGUUCGGACCUGAUCUGCUAAAACUAACGAAAUCGCCGACACGUCGCCCUGCCAUUCGGGCGUGUGAAGGUUAAAAACAAUUGAAUUGGCUAAACAUGUAGAACCAAGGGCAGAGGGCUUGCGGACGCGGGUUCGAUUCCCGCCGCCUCCACCA